AACGAACGCUGGCGGCAGGCUUAACACAUGCAAGUCGAACGCCCCGCAAGGGGAGUGGCAGACGGGUGAGUAACGCGUGGGAAUCUACCCAGUUCUACGGAACAACUGAGGGAAACUUCAGCUAAUACCGUAUACGCCCUACGGGGAAAGAUUUAUCGGAAUUGGAUGAGCCCGCGUUGGAUUAGCUAGUUGGUGAGGUAACGGCUCACCAAGGCGACGAUCCAUAGCUGGUCUGAGAGGAUGAUCAGCCACACUGGGACUGAGACACGGCCCAGACUCCUACGGGAGGCAGCAGUGGGGAAUAUUGGACAAUGGGCGCAAGCCUGAUCCAGCCAUGCCGCGUGAGUGAUGAAGGCCUUAGGGUUGUAAAGCUCUUUCAGUGGGGACGAUAAUGACGGUACCCACAGAAGAAGCCCCGGCUAACUACGUG
rnacentral:rRNA from 1 species